GACGAACGCUGGCGGCGUGCUUAACACAUGCAAGUCGAACGGAAAGGCCCUGCUUUUGUGGGGUGCUCGAGUGGCGAACGGGUGAGUAACACGUGAGUAACCUGCCCUUGACUUUGGGAUAACUUCAGGAAACUGGGGCUAAUACCGGAUAGGAGCUCCUGCUGCAUGGUGGGGGUUGGAAAGUUUCGGUGGUUGGGGAUGGACUCGCGGCUUAUCAGCUUGUUGGUGGGGUAGUGGCUUACCAAGGCUUUGACGGGUAGCCGGCCUGAGAGGGUGACCGGCCACAUUGGGACUGAGAUACGGCCCAGACUCCUACGGGAGGCAGCAGUGGGGAAUAUUGCACAAUGGGCGGAAGCCUGAUGCAGCAACGCCGCGUGCGGGAUGACGGCCUUCGGGUUGUAAACCGCUUUCGCCUGUGACGAAGCGUGAGUGACGGUAAUGGGUAAAGAAGCACCGGCUAACUACGUG
rnacentral:rRNA from 1 species